GAUGAACGCUGGCGGCGUGCCUAAAACAUGCAAGUCGUGCGGCAGCAUGCCCUUCGGGGUGAUGGCGAGCGGCGGACGGCUGAGUAACACGUGGGAAUCUGCCCCGAAGUGAGGGAUAACUGCUCGAAAGAGUAGCUAAUACCGCAUAUGGUCUACGGAUUAAAGCUUCGGCGCUUCGGGAGGAGCCCGCGUAAGAUUAGAUAGUUGGUGAGGUAAUGGCUCACCAAGUCGACGAUCUUUAACUGGUUUGAGAGGAUGAUCAGUCAGACUGGAACUGAGACACGGUCCAGACUCCUACGGGAGGCAGCAGUGGGGAAUAUUGGACAAUGGGCGCAAGCCUGAUCCAGCCAUGCCGCGUGUGUGAAGAAGGCCUUCGGGUUGUAAAGCGCUUUCAGUAGGGAGGAAGCGUUGUGUGUUAAUAGUACACAGCGUUGACGUUACCUACAGAAGAAGCACCGGCUAACUCUGUGCCAGCAGCCGCGGUAAUAC
rnacentral:rRNA from 1 species